GACGAACGCUGGCGGCGUGCCUAAUACAUGCAAGUUGAGCGCUGACGGCUGGUACUUGUACCCACUGGUUGAGCAGCGAACGGGUGAGUAACGCGUGGGGAAUCUGCCUUUUAGCGGGGGACAACAUUUGGAAACGAAUGCUAAUACCGCAUAAAAACUUUAAACACAAUUUUUAAGUGUGAAAGAUGCAAUUGCAUCACUCAAAGAUGAUCCCGCGUUGUAUUAGCUAGUUGGUGAGGUAAAGGCUCACCAAGCCGAUGAUACAUAGCCGACCUGAGAGGGUGAUCGGCCACACUGGGACUGAGACACGGCCCAAACCCCUACGGGAGGCAGCAGUAGGGAAUCUUCGGCAAUGGACGAAAGUCUGACCGAGCAACGCCGCGUGAGUGAAGAAGGUUGUCGGAUCGUAAAACUCUGGUGGUAGAGAAGAACGUUGGUGAGAGUGGAAAGCGCAUCAAGUGACGGUAACUACACAGAAAGGGACGGCUAACUACGUG
rnacentral:rRNA from 1 species